rnacentral:rRNA from 1 species
UCUCUCUGAAUCUGCGAACGGCUCCGCAAACCAGUUGUAAACCGAGGCAGGUUCCCUUGCGGUUCCGCUUCGGUGGGACUGCGGGUUAAUAUAUGGAUAACCGUGGUAAUUCUGAGGCUAAUACAUGACGUACAAAACCUCGCUCCGGGCUUGCCCGGGGCGGGGGGGCGUGCGACUUAAGGCUGGGGUAACAUCCAUGACAGAACGCACGCUCGGACCACCGUUAAGGGUGAAGGGCCUCGGCUCGGAUCCUGGUGGCCCCCGCAAUGUGCUUCUGACCUAUCAACUAGACGGCAGCAUAAGGGACAUGCUAUGGUGACAACGGGUACAGAGGAUUAGGGUUCGAUCCUGGAGAGUGGGCCUGAGAGAUU